GUUCGGAAGGGAUAACCGCUGAAAGCAUCUAAGUGGGAAGCCCACCUCAAGAUAAGAUAUCCCUUCUGGUGGAGACAUCAGAACUGAAGACCCCUUGUAGACCACGAGGUUGAUAGGUCAGGUGUGUAAGCACAGUAAUGUGUUCAGCUAACUGAUACUAAUCGGUCGUGAGGCUUGACCAUA
rnacentral:rRNA from 1 species